rnacentral:rRNA from 1 species
GUGCACAAGGGAGCUUGACUGCGAGACCGACGGGUCGAGCAGGUACGAAAGUAGGAACUAGUGAUCCGGCGAUCCCGUGUGGGUGGGUCGUCGCUCAACGGAUAAAAGGUACCCCGGGGAUAACAGGCUGAUCCUGCCCAAGAGUCCAUAUCGACGGCAUGGUUUGGCACCUCGAUGUCGGCUCGUCGCAUCCUGGGGCUGGAGCAGGUCCCAAGGGUUGGGCUGUUCGCCCAUUAAAGCGGUACGCGAGCUGGGUUUAGAACGUCGUGAGACAGUUCGGUCCCUAUCCUCUGCGCGCGCAGGAGACUUGAGGAGGCCUGUCCCUAGUACGAGAGGACCGGGACGGACGAACCUCUGGUAUGCCAGUUGUCCCGCCAGGGGCACGGCUGGUUAGCCACGUUCGGAACGGGUAACCGCUGAAAGCAUCUAAGCGGGAAACCAUCUCCAAGACCAGGUCUCCACACCCCCCAGCGGGGUGGAAGGCCCCCAGUAGACCACUGGGUAGAUAGGCCAGAAGUGUACAACCAGCAAUGGUACAAGCUGACUGGUACUAAUAGGCCAACACAAAACACACA